GAUGAACGCUGGCGGCGUGCCUAAUACAUGCAAGUCGAGCGAACAGACGAGGAGCUUGCUCCUCUGACGUUAGCGGCGGACGGGUGAGUAACACGUGGAUAACCUACCUAUAAGACUGGGAUAACUUCGGGAAACCGGAGCUAAUACCGGAUAAUAUAUUGAACCGCAUGGUUCAAUAGUGAAAGACGGUUUUGCUGUCACUUAUAGAUGGAUCCACGCCGCAUUAGCUAGUUGGUAAGGUAACGGCUUACCGAGGCGACGAUGCGUAGCCGACCUGAGAGGGUGAUCAGCCACACUGGAACUGAGACACGGUCCAGACUCCUACGGGAGGCAGCAGUAGGGAAUCUUCCGCAAUGGGCGAAAGCCUGACGGAGCAACGCCGCGUGAGUGAUGAAGGUCUUCGGAUCGUAAAACUCUGUUAUUAGGGAAGAACAAAUGUGUAAGUAACUAUGCACGUCUUGACGGUACCUAAUCAGAAAGCCACGGCUAACUACGUG
rnacentral:rRNA from 1 species